CAUUGUCCAUGACUACAACAGGAUAAUCAUAUCUCCAGCUUAGAACAAUCCUUGCUGCUUGCUGUGUGAUCUGCAGCCUCCUUAUCUCACUUUCUGAUGCUUCCCCCAGACCACAGAACAGCACAUUAGUUCACCUGACUCCACAUUGAUGUUUGGUUUCUUUGCCUGAGAGUUUUUCCCAGGAGAUACUUAGCCAUCCUUCUGCAAAUAAGAUGUUUGUACAACUUGCUUGAGAGGAUCUGCAGAGAAGAAUGGGAGAAACUCCCCAAAUACAGGUGUGCCAAGCUUGUAGUGUCAUACCCAAGAAGACUCGAGGAUGUAAUCGCUGCCAAAGGUGAUUCAACAAAGUACUGAGUAAAGGGUCUGAAUACUUAUGUAAAUGUAAUAUUUCUGUUUAUUUUUUCCAUUUGCAUAAAACAAUCUAAAAACC